CCUACGGGCGGCUGCAGUAGGGAAUAUUGCUCAAUGGGGGAAACCCUGAAGCAGCAACGCCGCGUGGAGGAUGAAGGUUUUCGGAUUGUAAACUCCUUUUGUUAGAGAAGAUUAUGACGGUAUCUAACGAAUAAGCACCGGCUAACUGCGUGCCCGCAGUCGCGGUACUACGGAUGGUGGCAGCGUUACUCUGAAUCCCUGGGCGUAAAGAGCGCGUAGGCGGGAUAGCAAGUCAGAUGUUAAAUCCUAUGGCUUAACCAUAGAACUGCAUUUGAAAAUGUUAUUCUAGAGUAUGGGAGAGGUAGGUGGAAUUCUUGGUGUAGGGGUAAAAUCCGUAGAGAUCAAGAGGAAUACUCAUUGCGAAGGCGACCUGCUAGAACAUAACUGACGCUGCUUCGCGAAAGCGUGGGGAGCAAACAGGAUUAGAUACCCUUGUAGUC
rnacentral:rRNA from 1 species